GGACUGGGGGCCAAAGUGUCUGGGUCCACAGGGGCUGAGAACCACCGUGGCUUAGGGGAAUGGAAAACAUAGGUCCCUGAGGAAUGAGACUAAGGUUAGGUUUGACUGAGGACUGACCCCUGGUGUCCCUGGAUGGACACCUGAUUCUUGGCCCUGAACUUAAGUUAAAAGACUUAACUUUUUGUCUCAGGCUUGGGAGGGAAGGGAGUGGGCCUCUGUCACCUUCUUGGGCCACACAGAGGAAGGAGAUGAUGGGGAAACAGGAUAUGGCCUUGAGGGUGGAUGGAGGGGGGCUUGUAGCAGAGGCCACUUCCAGGCUUAGGCCUAGAGUCAUAGUUGUUGCUGAGGAGGAAGGCUCCUCCCUGUUGGGCUCGUUCAUCUAGUCUGGCCACCUGUGCUGCUCACCAAGACCUGCCUGCACCCGCCUAGGGGAAGGGGAGGGGGCAGAGUCCAGAGGGUGGAGUUGAUGGUCUGGUGUCUUGAUAAGGUUGGUGAGGAACCUGUUGGUUGAAGCCAGCUGAGCUGAAGGAAGAGGGUCUGCAUGCCCUGGGGCCAGGACUGAGGUUUCCCCCCCCAGGCACCAUGCUGGGCCUGUAGCAAUAUCUACCCCACUGAGGUCAGCUGCACCCCCACUGCUGGGGUGCAGGUUCCAAUGAGAGGGCACACCAAGCUCCAUCGGGUAAGUCCAGCCCCUGAGUGCCGUCCAUGUUUGAAAAUGUUUGACAUGAUCUGUAUCCUGCCCACUCUUCAGAAUAGUCCAGUCCAACUGAGCCUCCCCCUGGUGUUUAAGUGGUUCAACCUUCUUGUUCCCCUCUAUCUCCUAUGAAUGGUUCAGUCCUGUACCUUUCUAGCCUCUGUGGUACCACCAAAAAACUUCUACCCAAACCCUCAGUGCUACAACUCAGUUGCUGAUGGAAUUUAAACUAGUAUUUGCAAGCUGAAAGUACAGUAUAUGUGAGAUACCCCUGGAGGAAUUUCUUCUUGGGAGAAGGCUUUGCUCCUAUAAGUUGUUGAAUAUUUUGGCUUAUGAAAGUUGUUUGGAAAUUGAUGUGGGGAGAUAUAAUAGAUCAUUGCCAUAACUAUUUCCAUGGCAAUCUUACCAUCUCACUUUUCCUCCCAGAUCCCUUUGUGUCCCAUUCUCUCCCUGCUGCACCAUCCCAUUCAAUCCCCACACCUGAUCUUAUUCCUUGUCUGCUUCCUUCAUUCCUUCUGCCAAUUCUCUGCCUGAGGCCCUGCUGCAUUCCCCUUUCCUUUGUAAGAGAAAGAGAUCUCUAAGGCAAGAAGUUCCUUAAGUUCCUUAAGUAUGCAUUGGUCUUCCUUAUUACUCAUUGAAUUUCUUGAGUGGGACUGUUGUCUUCUGUGUAUCUCUCACUGUUUGGCAUGACGGUUUGUACCUCGGGUGCCUCUGUGGAUUUGUACUGAAUGAAUGUGUUAACUGAAUGAGUUUCAUUACCAAGAAACCUAUGGCCUCUGAUAAUCUGCUGCACAGCCUCCUAUCUGUACCUUGUCUAGAGGAUAUGAAAAAUUUGGGAUGGUAACAGAGGGUAGAGCUGAGGAAGGCUGGCCCAGGAUAUGGUCUGUGAGAGUAAAAUCCAGGGAGAGGAGGGGGACAGAGGCAAUAUAGAAGAGUGGUAAGGAUGUGGCUCUGGAAAGAAGCCCAGCACUUUUGGUCACUUGCAGAAUAAAUUUGGACAAGUUACCUAACCUCCCAGGGCCUUAGUUUCCUCAUCUGCAAAAUGGGGUAAUCAAAGCACCAGCUAUGUUCAGAUUUGGGGAAGUGAAAAAAAUGCAUGUGAAAUGCUUAACACAGUGCCUGGCAUGUAACAGGUAUUGACUAAGUGCUAGCAGUUGUCCUGAUCGGAGCUUGAGGGACCUGUGAGAAUAAGCAAGGAUGUUUAGGAAUGGUAAGGAACUUAAUUGAAGACAGCCUCCUCCCCCAAUUGACUCAAAGAGAAGGAUCACUGAUCCAGAAAGAGGCCAGGAUUCAAGGGAGUGAGGCAAGGAGUCAGACAGGUCAGCCUGUUCCAAUGUAUUCCCUGACUCUGUUCAGGAACAUGUAGGCAAACACAGAAAGACAUGUGCAGAGACACACGUGAUCACCCUAGUGAUGCAGAGGCAGACCCAGACAAAAGACCGAGACAGGAGCCAGGCAGACACACAGACAGAGACAGCCCCGCGGAGUCAUGUAGACAGGGAUAAUGACAGGAACGCGUCAGACACAGGCACUGAGGGAGACAAGAUGAGCAGAUAUGCAGGUGCACACAAGAGACAGACACCCGGACCCACACACAGCCGACCUUGUCAGACAGACUGGUGAACACAGCGCCCAGUCAGAGGCAGACACAAGGCUCGCAGUGACACUUAGCGGGCCAAGGCCAGCACUGUCACUUCUCCGUGGGGGGGCGGGGAGGGGCCGGCCGCCGGGGAAGGCUGGAGAAGGGAAUCCCGGGCGGGCGGCCUGCCCGGGUGACUGAGUCACAGCGGAGCCUCAGCGGGCGGCCCUUCUGCCCCCCACCCCCGCCUCUCCUUCCAGGUAAGAAGCGUGCCUUUAGCACCUGGCUUCCUCCAAGCGAAAUGAGGACAGGAGGGGAGCGGGCUGCUGUGGGGGCCCUGAACUGGCCUUGUGCAGCCGACCGUCUGCCUGCUCGGUAAAACCUCAUCAGCGGGGUCUGGUCUUUGGCGGUCCUGAGAGUUUGUGAGUGCACGGCUGGCCUCUUAGACGCGUCUCGCGUGGCUGGGGCACUGCGCGGAGGGGGUCCUCGGCCUCAAGCCCAGAGAGAGUUAAGUGGGUAUGAUUGAUGGAGUGGUUUUCUCAAGGGGCUCAAGAGGGAGGGGGUAGGUUAAAGUCCGCGAGUCUAAAGCCCGGAUGGAGGGGGCGGGGUUGGGCUUUGCCGGGAGUGCCCGGAUGGAGAGGGCGUGUCCUCGGCAGGAGCGAAAUUAACCCUUUUAAGAGCUGCUUGCUCGGUAUUGUGGAUCGGGUUGGGGGAGCCUGGAAUGUCUGCACCAGAAGUGUGUCGCUCUCCCAGCCUGUCUCUGGCCGCGUGCAUCUAUCUCUCUUUUGCCUUCGAGAAGUCUGUGGGUGUCUUGUCUUUGUGCCUGCCCGUGGUUGUCCCUUCCCCAGGGUUAGUGUGGACACCCGGAGUCGGGAGAGGGCUAUUUAUCCCAGGGCGAGAGUGAAGGUGAGAGUCGACUGAGAGCCGGCCGCCUCCGGCGGACCAGGAAACAGGUGUGCGUGCGGCAGCGGGGCUACCCCGCGCGGGGAGG
ensembl:lncRNA